rnacentral:rRNA from 1 species
UAUUCCUGGAGCCAAGGAUGGAUGACUCGUGGAUUUGUUUAUCUUGUCUUGGUCAGCUCGUGUGACCUGAUGUCGGGCAGUCAUGAUCGCAUGGUCGAUCGUAGCUGUCUUGACGAACAAACCAAAGUUCGGCACGGAUUGUGCCAAGGUGCUUUGUUAGGAUUGGUGCGUCCUCUCUCGUUUGCCUUCACAUAGGGCAACGGGAUUGGGUGCACGUGAUGUCCACCACAUUAAAAACGACUCUCGGCAACGGAUAUCUCGGCUCUUGCAUCGAUGAAGAACGUAGCGAAAUGCGAUACUUGGUGUGAAUUGCAGAAUCCCGUGAACCAUCGAGUCUUUGAACGCAAGUUGCGCCCAAAGCCAUUCGGUUGAGGGCACGCCUGCCUGGGUGUCGUGAAUCAUUCGCCCCUUCUCACCCCUUCCGUCGUCGCAAGGGGUGGACCGGGUGCGUAAUGUGGCCUCCCGUGGGAUCGAUGUGCACAAUGUUGAGGCGCGGUUGGCCUAAAAUCGAGCACGGUGGUAGCUCGCACCACGACUUAUGGUGGAUCGUCUCAGACAAUCGUGAGAUUUGGCCGUGUCGUGUGCUGGGCUGCUCGUGGGCUUUGGACUCGGAUGAUCUUCGGAUGCGAUCCCAGGUCAGGCGGGGCUACCCGCUGAGUUUAAGCAUACUAAAGGGGGGGGAAAG